UAGGGAAUAUUGCACAAUGGGGGAAACCCUGAUGCAGCGACGCCGCGUGAAGGAAGAAGUAUCUCGGUAUGUAAACUUCUAUCAGCAGGGAAGACAAUGACGGUACCUGACUAAGAAGCCCCGGCUAACUACGUGCCAGCAGCCGCGGUAAUACGUAGGGGCGAAGCGUUAUCCGGAUUUACUGGGUGUAAAGGGAGCGUAGACGGAUCUGCAAGUCUGGAGUGAAAGCCCGGGGCGUCAACCCAGCCGGCGUUGGCAAUUGAACUGUGGAUCUAGAGUGCCGAGAGGUAAGCGGAAUUCCUAGUGUAGCGGUGAAAUGCGUAGAUAUUAGGAGGAACACCAGUGGCGAAGGCGGCUUACUGGACGGUAACUGACGUUGAGGCUCGAAAGCGUGGGGAGCAAACAGGAUUAGAUACC
rnacentral:rRNA from 1 species